rnacentral:rRNA from 1 species
UACGAAGGGGGCUAGCGUUGCUCGGAAUCACUGGGCGUAAAGCGCACGUAGGCGGAUUGUUAAGUCAGGGGUGAAAUCCUGGAGCUCAACUCCAGAACUGCCUUUGAUACUGGCGAUCUCGAGUCCGGGGAGAGGUGAGUGGAACUGCGAGUGUAGAGGUGAAAAUUCGUAGAUAUUCGCAAAGAACACCAGUGGCGAAGGCGGCCCACUGGCCCGGUACUGACGCUGAGGUGCGAAAGCGUGGGGAGCAAACAGGG